AGAGCCGGGGGGCCGAGCUCCCCGCCCGUGACCCUCCGCCCGCAGCCCCUCUCCCCAGCCCGGAGCUCUUAAUGAGGGGGGACGGUGGUUUCUUUAAUUCCGAGACCCAGCAGAGCAGAACUUUCCCAAAGCGGGCUCCUGAGGACGAGUGAAGACUCGUACAAAGAAAAUUCACUGUGUAAACAUCCUGCCCAAGAAAGGAAGGUUCGCCCUUACUCCAUCUACAGGAUCUGUUGGAAAAAUGAUUUGUUCUGGCUGAGUCUACAGUGAACAAUUAGAGAAUGGAAACUCACGGAGUGAGCUUAAGCAAAAUCGGCACCCAGAGAAAGAGGUCUUAUUUUUCCUGAAAGGUAAGCACAGUGGCAGUGCCGAUGCCAGGCAGCAGGCUGUCUGC
rnacentral:lncRNA from 1 species